GACGAAGGGGGCUAGCGUUGUUCGGAAUUACUGGGCGUAAAGCGCGUGUAGGCGGUUAUCCAAGUCGGGUGUGAAAGCCUUGAGCUCAACUCAAGAAAUGCAUUCGGUACUGGGUGACUAGAGGACCGGAGAGGAUAGUGGAAUUCCCGGUGUAGUGGUGAAAUACGUAGAGAUUGGGAAGAACACCAGUGGCGAAGGCGGCUAUCUGGACGGUUUCUGACGCUAAGACGCGAAAGCGUGGGGAGCAAACAGG
rnacentral:rRNA from 1 species